AUUGAACGCUGGCGGCAGGCCUAACACAUGCAAGUCGAGCGAGAGGCGGACGGGUGAGUAAUGUGUGGGAAACUGCCCGUUGGAGGGGGAUAACUACUGGAAAAGGUAGCUAAUAUCGCAUACCAUCAGAUGUGCCCAGAUGGGAUUAGCUAGUAGGGGGGGUAACGGCUCACCUAGGCGACGAUCCCUAGCUGGUCUGAGAGGAUGACCAGCCACACUGGAACUGAGACACGGUCCAGACUCCUACGGGAGGCAGCAGUGGGGAAUAUUGCACAAUGGGCGCAAGCCUGAUGCAGCCAUGCCGCGUGUGUGAAGAAGGCCUUCGGGUUGUAAAGCACUUUCAGCGGGGAGGCGUUACCCGCAGAAGAAGCACCGGCUAACUCCGUGCCAGCCGCCGCGGUAAUAC
rnacentral:rRNA from 1 species